AACCCCAGAAUCUGUAGUACAGCAAGGCUUCUCCAUCUGCCUAAAUAGUUUGCUCACUCAGCCUUGGGAGUAAUCGCUUUCUUCCUCACUCAGUGACAUUUUCUUGGAGGUGAGCACACAGAAUGUUAAUUUCCUCCAUAGUCUUCUCUCUGUAUUGUCAUGAGGACAGUGGAUUCCUCUCUUUUCUGGUUUUCAAUGACAGCCUGGUGAGUAAGGCCAGUGCUCCAGCGGCUCCCCCUGUGUCGUCAUUCACCUCCCCCUUCGCCCCCCAGCCACCAGGUUCCAGAUGCUACCACAAUGCCACCUGGACUUCAUCUGACUCCACCAAUGUGUCCUGGAGCCCCGCUUCCCCAGAGCUCUGCCCCAUUAGGGAAAGAGAGAGACACGCUGGGAUUUUGGAUUGACCUGUCAAUGCCCAUGAUCAGUGGAGAAGCAAUUACAGAAGCCAGACCUUCCACCUUCUGCACCCCAUAAUGAUCCUGGGUCCAUACUCCCAGAGGGUUAAAGAAUAGGGAAGCUAUCAGGGGAGGGGAUAGGAUACGGAGUUCUGGUGCCGGGAACUGUGUUCCUCUCUUGUCCUAUGGUCUUGUCAGUGUUUCCAUCUUAUAAAUAAAAAUUUUUAAAAAGAAAGAAAAAUAGAAAAAAAUUCCAAAAAAAGUAGCCAGUUGGUCCUAAUCAAAUUUUAGAAAAACUAGAAGACACCUGACACCCAGAGAAACCAGGGGUGUGUGCAAAACUGUGAAGACAAGAAGGUGGCUUUCAGCAAGCCAACCAGAGAGGCCUCUGAAGGAGUUCUGCCCACACACAGCUUGGCCUUGGGCUUCCAGUCCUGGAAGCCACCCUAUCUGUGAUGCUGCCCAGGCUGCCAACAACAGGUGGUGUCAGGGAACAGGCUUCUGUGACAACUUGUGGGAGAGGGCUCCCACAUCUCAGUGCAGGAGGUCAGGGCUGAGGAAAGUCAGAGCUGCACUCCUUUCCCUGAAGUGAUUAUCUUCCACAUCACAAACACCUCUCCAGCUGGCGAGAUAGCUCAGCCUGUUAGAGCAGCAGUUAGCACAUGUGAGGUCCCAGAGACUGCAGGUUCAACCCUCCAGCACCACCUUAUGUCAGAGCUGAGCAGUGCUCUGGUUCUCUCUUCCUCCCUCCACCCUUCCCCCAUAAU